UGGGGAAUCUUGGACAAUGGGGGCAACCCUGAUCCAGCGACGCCGCGUGGGUGGUAAGGCCUUCGGGUUGUAAAGCCCUUUCAGCGGGGAAGAUGAUGACAUUACCCGCAGAAUAAGCACCGGCUAACUCCGUGCCAGCAGCCGCGGUAAUACGGAGGGUGCAAGCGUUAUCCGGAUUUACUGGGUUUAAAGGGUGCGUAGGCGGCUUUUUAAGUCAGUGGUGAAAGCCUAGACACUUAAUGUCAGAAGUGCCAUUGAUACUGAAGAGCUUGAGUCAAGGAGAGGUAAGCAGAAUUUGUGGUGUAGCAGUGAAAUGCUUAGAUACCAUGAGGAAUACCAACAGCGAAGGCAGCUUACUGGCCUUGUACUGACGCUGAGGCACGAAAGCGUGGGGAGCAAACAGGAUUAGAUACCCCGGUAGUCC
rnacentral:rRNA from 1 species